rnacentral:rRNA from 1 species
UCCGUAGGUGGAUGGUUAAGUCAGAGGUGAAAUCCUGCAGCUCAACUGUAGAAUUGCCUUUGAUACUGGCCAUCUUGAGUCGCGGUGAAGCAGUUAGAAUAUGUAGUGUAGCGGUGAAAUGCAUAGAUAUUACAUAGAAUACCGAUUGCGAAGGCAGACUGCUAACCGUGUACUGACACUGAGGGACGAAAGCGUGGGAGCGAACA